GCUGGCGGCAUGCCUAACACAUGCAAGUCGAACGAGACCUUCGGGUCUAGUGGCGCACGGUGCGUAACGCGUGGGAAUCUGCCCCUUGGUUCGGAAUAACAGCGAGAAAUUGCUGCUAAUACCGGAUAAUGACGUAAGUCCAAAGAUUUAUCGCCAAGGGAUGAGCCCGCGUAGGAUUAGCUAGUUGGUGUGGUAAAGGCGCACCAAGGCGACGAUCCUUAGCUGGUCUGAGAGGAUGAUCAGCCACACUGGGACUGAGACACGGCCCAGACUCCUACGGGAGGCAGCAGUGGGGAAUAUUGGACAAUGGGCGAAAGCCUGAUCCAGCAAUGCCGCGUGAGUGAUGAAGGCCUUAGGGUUGUAAAGCUCUUUUACCCGGGAUGAUAAUGACAGUACCGGGAGAAUAAGCUCCGGCUAACUCCGUG
rnacentral:rRNA from 1 species